AGAAAAGCGAACAGAUGAUAUCUCUGUUUGGGACCAGGAAUUCCUGAAAGUUGACCAAGGAACACUUUUUGAAUUUAUUCUGGCUGCAAACUCCUGAGACAUCAAAGGUUUGCUUGGUAUUACAUGCAAGACCAUUGCCAAUACUAUCAAGGGGAAAGCUCCUGAGGAGAUUUGCAAGAAUUUCAACAUCAAAAAUGACAUUACUGAAAAGCAGGAAGCCCAGGCACACAAAGAGAACCAGUGAUGUGAAGAGAA
rnacentral:lncRNA from 1 species